GCUUUGGAAAAUCCAUGAAUAAAUAAAUAUGUUAAUGCAAAUAGUUUCCACCUCACAGACAGAUUUGUAAGAGGAUGUCCUUUCCUUAAACUACACUGCAUUCUAAAGCAACUCUCCCGCCUGACAGUAUAUCUGGCAGAACUAGUUAGUAGGAAUGACCCUUACUCAACCAUAAUCUGUACAUAUAAUUGAUGACAGAAUCUGAAAGGAUACUAACAUCUGACCUGGUACUAUUACAUUUUCAAGGUAAUUUGUGUCAUAACGGUUCAUUUAAAAACACGUAAAAGCAAGUUUAUGCAGCAUUGAAUAUAAUCGCUUGUUCACAAUCUCAAGAUCUAAAGAAGCAGAGCAUGCUUUUAAAAAUCAAUACACAAGCCUAAACCUAAUGGAUAAUUCAUUAGAACCAGUUCUGCUGAACCACAGAUUCACAGUGCCAACACAGUCCUCAGCAAAGCUGAGUUAGAAGGUAAGAAUCUAUCCACCCUACCUCCCACUCUGAGGAAGCUUUAGGUGUCAGGAGAAAAGAAGGCUGCAAAGUGGUCCCAGUGAACAAGAAAUUAGAGUCCAAGACAGUUUUAGGAGUAACCAAGUGCUACAUUAGAGCAGAAAGAGAUACGGCUGUAAACACCAGCCCUGGUUCAUUUUUCUAUAUUCUUUAAGUGUAUUGAUCACAAAAGUCUGGAAUUUAGGAGAAUUCUAAGAACCUGAGUGUCUUGAGGGAACAGCAGAGGAGAUGUGAUUGAACGAGGAGUACUGAAGAGCACCAAGCAUGAGAGGACAGAUCUUUCUGAAUGGAAUGUGUCCUGGCUGGCAACAUAACAAGAGAUAAGUCCAUUGAAAAGAAGAAACAGCCCAGCUCACAAACAGCCGCAAAAUCCCAGAAGAAAGAGGAGCCCCCAUGCAGUCAAGAAAAUGGAGUCAUCCUGAAGCACAGAUUGGAAGGGGAGAGUACGGUACACCCAAGAGGAAUCUAUGGCUCUUUUACCCAUUAGAUCUCUCUAUCCUCUGAGAAAGGAGGAGGCCAGGGGAAGGGCAGUUCCCCAUGGAGAUGACCUUGGCCUUCUUCAGUAGACACCAAAAGUGCCAGGGUCUCUGCAUUCCAUCUGAAAAAAUAUAUUUGACUUAGCAACUUCCCAGCAUCAGAGACCUAGAGACUCUGGGCAACUUCUACUGAUUUGAUUGAAUAAUAUUUGGAAAAUAAGAAGUUUUCAUGGACAAUAAAGCAUGUAUAAAAUUGGCCA
rnacentral:lncRNA from 1 species